GGGGCCGGGGGGGCGGCCGGGGGCGGAGGGGCCUGCGCCAGGUACCGCUCCACCGCCACCACCGUCACCGCCGGCGGCUCCGCGGGCGCCACGCUCAGCUGCGAGGAGCCCCGCACCUCCUCGAACACCUUCUGCAGCCAGGAGGCCCCGCCGCCGCCGCCGCCCUCCGCCGCCGCCCGGCUCUCCUCGGCGCGCUCCGGGAGCGUAGUUCAAUGGCUUUCUCUCCCCAGCCCAUGACCUGAUUAGACUGAAGUUACUCUUCGUGCACACUGAAGGCUUCCCUGUCACUAGAGCUGAGAGCUAGACAAUUCUCUCCCAGUAUCCCAGUCAUGAGGAAAGAGGAAGAAACCAAGCUGUUUUAAAAGCAAAGCAGCAGUGAGCAACUGAGGUUCUUAGGCUGUACAACAAGGUAUCAUUGCUGCAGGCUGUGAGGGUGUCAUUAACAUCUCAACCCACUGCAGCAGUAGCUGGGUGAGCCCCAGGGCAGCACCCAGUGAAGUCAGCAUGUGAAAAGGUUUGUGAAAAUUGCUUCAGGCAAGUGUGGAGCUGGGCAAAACACACUGAGGAGAAUAUCUAGUGACGACUUUGGUGACAGUAAAAGGUACCAUCCACUGCCGAGUACACUGCUGUAGAACCCUUCUUUGGCCCUUCAGUCAAACUCAGUACACUCUAUGAAACCACAAUAUAUUCAAGCUUUUUUCAAUAUAUACUAUAUUCAAUAUAUAUAAAGCUUUUAUUGGUUUCCCAGUCUUUGGGGAAAACAUGUUUGUUCAUUUUUAGACAAAUGGAAGGGACACAUACAUGUUGAGGACUGGGAAUGAAAAAAGCCCACAGAGAUACCAAGUGUCCUGUGAUGCAGCAAAGCUUGUUCCCACAAAAACCCAGCUGAGAGCUCUCCAGAGAUGCUGCUGAUUACUGAUUAGGGACUGAUAGCUAUUUUGCAUGCUGUCUCUAGCCCAUGCUUUAAUACUUACUGACCAUAAAGUUGAGCAGUUUUGGGUAGGAAAACUGAGGAAGAUAACUUCUCUUGUGCAAUUCUGUUAAAUAGUUUUACUGCUAUAAUUUAUGUUACCUGGAUACGGAAUAGGGUGUUUUUCUUCUUCCAGUCACAGCUGUGGAGAACUUUUAUUAAACAAGAGAGGCUAGAGAGUCAAAAUAAAGAAGGAAAAAAAGCUAAGGCUGAAUAAAGUUAGAAACAGACAAAUUAAGAAAUUGGCCUGGAAGGCCGGUGUUUUCCUGCUGUACCUUUUGGUUAGAGUGCACUGGGAAGAGGGCUAACAUACAGCAGAAGUGAUACCCCAACCCAGAAACGCACCUGGGGUGGCCAUUUGCUUGUUUGAAUGCCUUUUGCUGUUCCCUUGGGGAAGAGCAUGCAGGAGACCUGACCAACAUCAGUCACUCAGAUAUGAGCGGGCGUGUUCUGUGCACGAGCUGGACAGCAACUCUCUCAAGAACUGGUGAGUGUGGUGGUAGAACAUGAGGCAAUAAUUCUACCGCCUGUUGGUAACACUGUCUGUUUCUCUCCAUAAUAUCCAUUUUGCUUCUAAUAUGUACAGGGAAAAUGAAAUAAGGGCUUUGACUGCUUCCGCACUCUGGGAAUAUCCAGAUUUGUGUCAAACCUCUGAGAUUACAUACUGUAAAUAAUUCAUUACUCACACAAAAGGGCAAAAGUGCUCCCCAAUCUUAUUAACUUGAUGUUUCUUAAAGCCUUUUUUAAUCCUGUUUUAUAGAAAGAAAAUAUUACAUCUAUAUUUAUAUUUAGCCCUACAUAUGUGAAGUAUCUUUCAGCUUAAACAUAGAAUACUUCUACAAGUUUAAUUUCCCAUGGGAUUUGAGCUUCCUCUCUCCAAUUUCUUAUUAACAGAUCGGUCACAGAGGUCCCAACUUUAAGACUAUGAGUAAGUUAUAUUUAGAUUCCCUGCCCUAAAUCCAUUGAUUAUAAUACAAACUAUUUUUUACUUUUUGUAUCAAAAUAUUCUCACCAACUACAAAAGUUUUCUUUCAAAAUACUUGUUUAAAGAAAUCAAGAAAUGAGCAAAGGAUGACUAGAGAGCACACUGAGGUUAACACAAGACCCUUCUAUCUCUGCAACAUAGAGUGAAAAUUUUGAGUGUUAGCUUGAAGCCCUCCAGGGAAGGUGAAACAAACAGCUGUCCUGGCUCCAGUACAACCAGAAUCUCCUCCUACACAGACAACUGCAAGCAUGGGGAGCUUGAGAAUCUGUUAUAAAUACCCUGGGUUGGCAGCCCUGUGAAUUUAAAGUGAUAAAAUUAAGGGGCCAUUUGACAGCAGUUACAGAUCUCUUCAGUAACUGACCUCUGUAGCUGUGAAUUUGUACAUAAAACGUUCUGAGCUAUGAACGACCAAAGCACCUUUUCCCCCUCUGUAAUUCACACAAUUCUCUCUGUGAGAACUGGUGGCAAGCUGCUUCGUCAGUGAGGUUUGUCUGUACAGUCAAAGUGUGAUGCAAUAAACAGCGUGGCAAUAAACAGACUGUGAUCCAAAUGUGAAGCCCCUAUUGCAAUCAUUGGCCACGUUAACACAAACAUCCAUAAAUCUGUUUACUCUUUACACAUCUGGUUUGCUCAGAAGUUGCUUUAUGUGCCAUACACUUUCACAUGGAUACAAACCUCGUAAAGAAGUCA